rnacentral:lncRNA from 1 species
UUCCGGUUGAAGAUUUUCUCGGGGAUAGCAAGGUAGUUGCCUGGCGAUCGCAGCCCUGCUCUUCUCCCUCUUAUCUUCCUUUAGUUGUAUUUACCUAUUUUCCAGACUAUGUUAGUCUCGAUAUUGUCAGAAAAAUUAUAAUAGAUGCUCUUUUCUUUUCUGCACUUUUGUUCAAUUUGAAUUUCUUACGAAGUUUUAUUGUUAAAUAGCUGAAAGUUAUCUUUGAAAAGAUAAUAUCGGUUUGUUUUGGAAAUGAGUCGGAUUGCCUAGUUGCACGAUAGGCGCCAUCACGAAAGGGCUGGUUUGGGUCGUGACAAGUUGGUAUUAGAGCCUAGGUUACAUAGGUCUCACGAGUCAUGAGCGUUUUUAGUAGAGUCUUACGGAUCGGUACGGAGACGUCUGCACUUAUCUUCAAAAGGUUGCGGAACCCUUAGGAAACUCCACAUUCUUGAAUUCUUAUCAUACGAAUCUGUUGAUUCUAGUAACUAAACAUUCGUUGUUUCAUUCUCUCACAGAUGGUGAGGACUCGUACUACCGGUUAGGAGGGCCAGCCACCAGUACCACUUGCCAGGGCUGCGAGAGGACGAGGCCGCGGUAGAGGCCGUGGUAGGGGCAGAGGUUCAGCCCGCACUGCAGCUGGGGCAGUACCUGCAGAUCCACCAGUUGCCCCAGAUCAGGACCAGAUUCC